rnacentral:rRNA from 1 species
GACGAACGCUGGCGGCGUGCUUAACACAUGCAAGUCGAACGAUGAAGCUGGAGCUUGCUCCGGUGGAUUAGUGGCGAACGGGCGAGUAACACGUGAGAAAUCUGCCCUUGACUCUGGGAUAACUGCGGGAAACUGUAGCUAAUACCGGAUAUUUUCCUUGGUGGGCAUCCACUGGGGAAGAAAGAAUUUCGGUCAAGGAUGAUCUCGCGGCCUAUCAGCUAGUUGGUGAGGUAAUGGCUCACCAAGGGGACGACGGGUAGCCGGCCUGAGAGGGUGACCGGCCACACUGGGACUGAGACACGGCCCAGACUCCUACGGGAGGCAGCAGUGGGGAAUAUUGCACAAUGGGCGCAAGCCUGAUGCAGCAACGCCGCGUGAGGGAUGAAGGCCUUCGGGUUGUAAACCUCUUUUAGCAGGGAAGAAGCGAAAGUGACGGUACCUGCAGAAAAAGCACCGGCUAACUACGUGCCAGCCGCCGCCGUAA